AUGCAGUGUGCAGUUAAAAUGUUUAAAAUGGAAUCGAUCAAGUAUAUAGUUGGACCUUAAUGGAAAUUCUAUUCGCGUAUUUUGUUAUUUGUAGAUGUUUUCAUCAAAUGUAUGUUUAUCAAAUAAUAAUUAAAUUCUACAAAAAAAUCAUAACCUCAAUGAUUAUUGCAAUGUUGAGUCAAAAGGUUAGUAAAAAUGAGAUAUACAAAUACAAAUUUAAUAUUUGUAGCCCCUUCAGUAACAAUAAUAUAGUUCGGCUAAACAGGAACAAAAACUAAUACAAUGGUUUUCAACUGAAGAAAUAUAAUGACUCAGAACAUAAUAAAGAUAUUUGCUCAAAUAAAGAAUAUGAAUGCAAAGUUAGAAUAUAAAAUAAUAAUCCACCAUCAUCACGAAAAAAUGAUUUGAAGAAGAAUAAAAUUUUUUACAGCAUUAAAUGAUGACACUUGUGUCAUGUGUCAUGGAAUUGUUUUAGCAAAAAUAUGAUUUAAAAGUCGGUGGAUGAAAUUCGGCUGAACUGACAAGAAACAAUUAAGACAAUAUUUGAGCAAUACAUUCAUAAAGGAAUUAGCUGCACUUUGUUCCUAAUAAAUAAUGAAAGUAA